GAUGAACGCUGGCGGCGUGCCUAAUACAUGCAAGUCGAGCGAAGGGACGAGUAGCUUGCUUCUCUGAUGUUAGCGGCGGACGGGUGAGUAACACGUGGAUAACCUACCUAUAAGACUGGGAUAACUUCGGGAAACCGGAGCUAAUACCGGAUGAUAUUUUGAACCGCAUGGUUCAUAAGUGAAAGACGGUCUUGCUGUCACUUAUAGAUGAAUACGCGCUGCAUUAGCUAGUUGGUAAGGUCACGGCUUACCAAGGCAACGAUGCAUAGCCGACCUGAGAGGGUGAUCGACCACACGGGAGCUGAGACACGGUCCAGACUCCUACGGGAGGCAGCAGUAGGGAAUCUUCCGCAAUGGGCGAAAGCCUGACGGAGCAACGCCGCGUGAGUGAUGAAGGUCUUCGGAUCGUAAAACUCUGUUAUUAGGGAAGAACAUAAGUGUAAGUAACUGUGCACAUCUUGACGGUACCUAAUCAGAAAGCCACGGCUAACUACGUG
rnacentral:rRNA from 1 species